rnacentral:rRNA from 1 species
AUGGGCCAUGGCUCCUGGAAUGGGCUAUGGCUGAAAUCUACAUGGCCCCAGGAUGGGACUGCGGCCGAUCAGGUUGUUGGUGGGGUAAUGGCCCACCAAGCCUAUAACCGGUGCGGGCUCUGAGAGGAGGAGCCCGGAGAUGGGCACUGAGACAAGGGCCCAGGUCCUAUGGGGCGCAGCAGGCGCGAAACCUCCGCAAUGGGUGAAAGCCCGACGGGGUCAGUCCGAGUGGUUCCCGCUGAGGGAACCUUUUGCCAGCUGUAAACAGGCUGGCGAAUAAGGGGUGGGCAAGUUUGGUGUCAGCCGCCGCGGUAAUACCAGCACCCCGAGUGGUCGGGACGAUUAUUGGGCCUAAAGCAUCCGUAGCCGGCCCAGUAAGUCCUCCGUUAAAUCCAACGGCUCAACCGUUGGGCUGCGGGGGAUACUGCUGGGCUAGGGGACGGGAGAGGCGAGGGGUAUUCCCGGGGUAGGGGUAAAAUCCACUGAUCCCGGGAGGACCACCAGUGGCGAAGGCGCCUCGCUAGAACGUGCCCGACGGUGAGGGAUGAAAGCUGGGGGAGCGAACCGGAUUAGAUACCCGGGUAGUCCCAGCCGUAAACGAUGUAGGCUCGGUGUUGGGCUGCCUCAGUGGCAGCCCAGUGCCGCAGGGAAGCCGUUAAGCCUACCGCCUGGGGAGUACGGCCGCAAGGCUGAAACUUAAAGGAAUUGGCGGGGGAGCACCACAAGGGGUGAAGCCUGCGGU